UUGAUUCGUCGCAACGGACUGUAUUGUAGACGACGUUUUACAGUAUGAAAUCGUUGAGUUGAGACUGCGUCAUUGAACUGCGUUAGCUGAGGCGCACGCUGCUAACCGACGAACGGGCUGUUGAUCGCGGCGCAAGGUCAACGUUCGACAAGGCCACGCCGCGACCCACCACGCACCACGUGCCGUCUCGUCUAGUCCGCCAGACGCUACCCCCACUACCCCCACUACUCACGCUCAGUGCGCCGCGGCUCGGCCAUCUCCGCCGCCGUUCGGCAAUCGUCGUUGAGCUGCCUCUGCUCUGGCGACGCAGCGCCACUGCUACCAACGUUACCGUCGCCAUACCGCGCAACACUGCGUAAUACUGCGCCAUAUUCGUUUCGCCGGUUGUCGGAUGUUACAACAAAGCGUUUCCGUGCUUCUCGCGUGUUCCAAACCCGAAUUGUGUACAUUAUACGGUCUCGAGAAUGUCGAUGUGAUUGCGGACGAGUAUUCUGAUACGCAAUGAAUCGCAGUGUCGCACGCAGAAGUGAUCGUUCUUGUUCGUAAUCGCGAGUAUCGUGUAUCCUUGUGGCGUAGCUUCGUCAAGUUCGUGCGCAAUCGUAUUCGUUGGAAUAGAAUGCUUCAUCUACGCAGUAGAAUAUCGCGAAUGUCAAGUGAACCGUUACUAGUCGUCUUGCGAUCAUGUCGAGUACAAGAUUUACAAUCGGGAGUGAGUUUGUCUCGUUUCUAUUUACGCGUGCAUCCAUUCAAACGACUCGCUGCUGUCUCAGGUAUCGUGACGCAUUGGUCGCUCGGUCCUUUUUGCAAUGUAAUGCCUGUUCUCUCGCGUGCAUUUCAUCUUUUAUUCGCGUUCGCGAUCGUGUGUGAUGAAAUAUCAGCGUAAUAUCGAGAGUGCCGAAUCGGUCGGUCGUGUGUACGGUUAACGUGUGUGGUUAGGAAACAACGAAACAAGUUGUCAGCAGACUUCCAUCCUGGAGGUGGCAUCCGUGGGGCAAUUUGAUUAAUGCAGUUUCAACUUCGUUAUGGUGCAUCAGUGUCGGUAAACCACUGGAGGUAACGUCGCUAUAACGCGCUUCGGGAUGCUGUUUGGCAAGUUUGUCUGGAAUACAACCGUCACCAUCGAACUGUCAAGACAGGUAAGAGGACUCUUUUUGCCCCCCCUCCCUUCCGUCUCUCUUCGUUGCGCGACCGGCUGCACAUCGCUACCUAGAAAAGUAGAAAGGAACGUCUCUCGCUCGUGGGAUGGUUUGAAUCUUUAAAGAAGGCGCAGUUAGUAACCAGAGAAGUACAAAUGGCUAGCGCCUUCGCCCAUCGAUUAUUUACGCGGGGUCACGUUAAAUAUGUACGCUUCCAUGGGGAUCGAGCAGCCGAACUGGAUGGGGGUGCUAGGGAUGGCUUCCUCGAUGGCAGGACGGGAUAGCGGGGAAGAAGCAAGUUUCACAGUCAACUGUCUCUCGCAAUACGCCUUGACGCUUCCUCCCAAGUCCCUUUCCUCUUGCUAAAAACGAGGGGGUGAUUUCCACCGUUUAUGUGCUUGGGGAACCGGCGAAUUAAAGAACGCGACCUUGACUCUGCUGACCUACAUUAGGGUCGAUGCACAUGACGGGGUGCAUAUUUUCCACGUGAUCGCGCGAUUAGGCACUAUGAAUCGCAAAGAUAGCCUUUACAUGUCAGUCAUGUGAAUAUAAUUGCUUGAUCGAACUCGAAAAUAUUGCAUCUUUCCAAAAUUCAGCAUUAAAUAUCCUGAUAGUCAGACGAAUUAAAUUCGACAAAGAUAAAAUUCAUUUGAAAAAAUUUAACUGCGUAAACAAUCAUUUUAUUUAAUUUGGUUGCAAAAACAUUUCAGUCAUUUAUAAAAUAUUACACUUAUGUUUAAUUGUUCAAGCUACCUACGUCAGAUUUAAAUUAUAAUAGUCAAAGACUUUGUAGAAAUAAUGUGGUGGACGUUAAAAUGUAUCUUUAUAGAGAUUGGAUAACAAAUUAUAAUAAUUCUUAAUCGCAUUAGACACGAUAAAUAGCAAAGAUGGCGUUUACAUGUCGAUCGCGUGAACAUAUAACAAUUACUUAACUGAAGUCACAACUUUUGUAUUUUUCCAACAUUUUGUAUUAAAUACUCUUAAGAUCCAACGGAUUAAAUUCAACGAAGAUAAAAUUCAAUUUGAAAAAGUUUAAAAGCGUAAUU